rnacentral:rRNA from 1 species
ACCGGCGGCUCGAGUGGUGGCCGCUAUUACUGGGCUUAAAGCGUUCGCAAAGGGAGUGUUAAGUCUCUGGGGAAAUCUUCCGGCUCAACCGGAAGGCGUCUCAGGGAGACUGGCAGGCUAGGGACCGGAAGAGGUGAGAGGUACUCCAGGGGUAGGAGUGAAAUCCUGUAAUCCUUGGGGGACCACCUGUGGCGAAGGCGUCUCACCAGGACGGCUCCGACAGUGAGGAACGAAAGCUUGGGGAGCAAACCG